AAUUCGCCCUUGGUUUGAUUAUGGCUCAGGAUGAACGCUGGCGGCGUGCUUAACACAUGCAAGUCGAACGGAAAUGACACGCUGAUGCGAUUUCGGUCAAAUCUUGUGGCAUUUCAGUGGCGGACGGGUGAGUAACGCGUGGGUAACCUGCCUCACACCGGGGGAUAACACUUAGAAAUAGGUGCUAAUACCGCAUAAGCGCACGGGACUGCAUGGUCCAGUGUGAAAAACUCCGGUGGUGUGAGAUGGACCCGCGUCUGAUUAGCUUGUUGGCGGGGUAACGGCCCACCGAGGCGACGAUCAGUAGCCGGCCUGAGAGGGUGGACGGCCACAUUGGGACUGAGACACGGCCCAAACUCCUACGGGAGGCAGCAGUGGGGGAUAUUGGACAAUGGGGGGAACCCUGAUCCAGCGACGCCGCGUGAGUGAAGAAGUAUUUCGGUAUGUAAAGCUCUGUCAGCAGGGAAGAAGAAAUGACGGUACCUGACCAAGAAGCCCCGGCUAACUACGUGCCAGCAGCCGCGGUAAUACGUAGGGGGCAAGCGUUAUCCGGAAUUACUGGGUGUAAAGGGAGCGUAGACGGUAAUGUAAGUCUGGAGUGAAAGGCCGGGGCCCAACCCCGGGACUGCUCUGGAAACUAUGUUACUUGAGUGCAGGAGAGGUAAGCGGAAUUCCUAGUGUAGCGGUGAAAUGCGUAGAUAUUAGGAGGAACACCAGUGGCGAAGGCGGCUUACUGGACUGUAACUGACGUUGAGGCUCGAAAGCGUGGGGAGCAAACAGGAUUAGAUACCCUGGUAGUCCACGCCGUAAACGAUGAUCACCAGGUGUCGGUGGGUAUGGACCCACCGGUGCCGCAGCAAACGCAGUAAGUGAUCCACCUGGGGAGUACGUUCGCAAGAAUGAAACUCAAAGGAAUUGACGGGGACCCGCACAAGCGGUGGAGCAUGUGGUUUAAUCCGAAGCAACGCGAAGAACCUUACCAAGUCUUGACAUCCCAUCGAAUAAAGGGUAAUGCCUUUAGUCCUUCGGGACGAUGGAGACAGGUGGUGCAUGGUUGUCGUCAGCUCGUGUCGUGAGAUGUUGGGUUAAGUCCCGCAACGAGCGCAACCCUUAUCUUCAGUAGCCAGCGAGUAAGGUCGGGCACUCUGGAGAGACUGCCGGGGAUAACCCGGAGGAAGGUGGGGAUGACGUCAAAUCAUCAUGCCCCUUAUGAUUUGGGCUACACACGUGCUACAAUGGCGUAAACAGAGGGAAGCGAGCCCGCGAGGGGGAGCAAAUCCCAAAAAUAACGUCCCAGUUCGGAUUGUAGUCUGCAACCCGACUACAUGAAGCUGGAAUCGCUAGUAAUCGCGGAUCAGAAUGCCGCGGUGAAUACGUUCCCGGGUCUUGUACACACCGCCCGUCACACCAUGGGAGUCGGAAAUGCCCGAAGUCUGUGACCCAACCCCUGGUGAGCAUGACCGUACAGAGAGAUAACAGAGCUUAGGUAAGGAAGGUCUGUUAUACCCGCGAAAAAGAUGUACGGAGGUCGUGCUUAGCAGGGGGAGGGAGCAGCCGAAGGCAGGUCGGAUGACUGGGGUGAAGUCGUAACAAGGUACCC
rnacentral:rRNA from 1 species